GAUGAACGCUGGCGGCGUGCCUAAUACAUGCAAGUCGAGCGAACGGACGAGAAGCUUGCUUCUCUGAUGUUAGCGGCGGACGGGUGAGUAACACGUGGAUAACCUACCUAUAAGACUGGGAUAACUUCGGGAAACCGUAGCUAAUACCGGAUAAUAUUUUGAACCGCAUGGUUCAAAAGUGAAAGACGGUCUUGCUGUCACUUAUAGAUGGAUCCGCGCUGCAUUAGCUAGUUGGUAAGGUAACGGCUUACCAAGGCAACGAUGCAUAGCCGACCUGAGAGGGUGAUCGGCCACACUGGAACUGAGACACGGUCCAGACUCCUACGGGAGGCAGCAGUAGGGAAUCUUCCGUAAUGGGCGAAAGCCUGACGGAGCAACGCCGCGUGAGUGAUGAAGGUCUUCGGAUCGUAAAACUCUGUUAUUAGGGAAGAACAUAUGUGUAAGUAACUGUGCACAUCUUGACGGUACCUAAUCAGAAAGCCACGGCCAACUACGUG
rnacentral:rRNA from 1 species